rnacentral:rRNA from 1 species
CGAAAGUUAGAGGUUCGAAGGCGAUCAGAUACCGCCCUAGUUCUAACCAUAAACGAUGCCAGCCAGCGAUCCGGCUGCGUUCCUCAAAUGACGCGCCGGGCAGCUUCCGGGAAACCAAAGCUUUUGGGUUCCGGGGGAAGUAUGGUUGCAAAGCUGAAACUUAAAGGAAUUGACGGAGGGCUACCACCAGAAGUGGAACUUGCGGUUCAAUUUGACUCAACGCAGCGAACCCUACCAGGCCAGGACACAAGUAGGAUUGACAGAUUAAGAGCUCUUUCUUGAUUUUGUGGGUAGUGGUGCAUGGCCGCUCUUGGUUCGUGUAGUGAUUUGUCUGGUUAAUUCUGAUAACGGACGAGGCUCUAGCCUACUAAAUAGACGCUCGGAUCAU